rnacentral:rRNA from 1 species
AUUGAACGCUGGCGGCAGGCCUAACACAUGCAAGUCGAGCGGAGCGGCGGACGGGUGAGGAAUGCCUAGGAAUCUGCCUGGUAGUAGGGUAUAACGUCCGGAAACGGGCGCUAAUACCGCAUACUUUCAGAUGAGCAUAGGGCGGAUUAGCUAGUUGGAGGGGUAACGGCCUACCAAGGCGACGAGCCGUAACUGGUCUGAGAGGGUGAUCAGUGACACUGGAACGGAGACACGGCCCAGACUCCUACGGUAGGCAGCAGUGGGGAAUCUUCGGCAAUGGGCGAAAGCCUGACCCAGCCAUGCCGCGUGUGUGAAGAAGGUCUUCGGAUCGUAAAGCUCUUUUAUUUGGGAGGCGUUACCAACCCAGUAAGCCCCGGCUAACUUCGUGCCAGCCGCCGCGGUAAUAC